rnacentral:rRNA from 1 species
CCCUUAGAUGUUCUGGGCUGCACGCGCGCUACACUGAUGCGCUCAACGAGUUUACGAACUUGCCCGGAAGGGUUGGUUAAUCUUUUUAAAACGCAUCGUGAUGGGGAUAGAUUAUUGCAAUUAUUAAUCUUCAACGAGGAAUUCCUAGUAAGCGCGAGUCAUCAGCUCGCACUGAUUACGUCCCUGCCCUUUGUACACACCGCCCGUCGCUCCUACCGAUUGAAUGCUCAGGUGAGCCAUUCGGACUUUCAUCAUGCUGGUUUCCAGUUUUGAUGAAGGAAAGUCUUGCGAACCUUAUCAUUUAGAGGAAGGAGAAGUCGUAACA